ACACCGGCAGCUCUAGUGGUAGCUGUUUUUAUUGGGCCUAAAGCGUUCGUAGCCGGUUUGGUAAGUCGCUGGUGAAAUCCUGUAGCUUAACUGUGGGAAUUGCUGGUGAUACUGUUGAACUUGAGGUCGGGAGAGGUUAGCGGUACUCCCAGGGUAGAGGUGAAAUUCUGUAAUCCUGGGAGGACCACCUGUGGCGAAGGCGGCUACCUGGAAGGAACCUGACGGUGAGGGACGAAAGCUAGGGGCGCGAACCGGAUUAGAUACCCGGGUAGUCCUAGCCGUAAACGAUGCGGACUUGGUGUUGGGAUGGCUUUGAGCCGCUUCGGUGCCGAAGGGAAGCUGUUAAGUCCGCCGCCUGGGAAGUACGGUCGCAAGACUGAAACUUAAAGGAAUUGACGGGGG
rnacentral:rRNA from 1 species